CAAAUACACUCAGUUAAUCCUAAAUGCUGCGUAGUUAGCUAGACGAUCUACUAUUUUAUGCUAAACUUCGCUAGAUUUUAUUUUGAAUAUGAAUAGCUUGCUAGCGGCAGUUGUCCUGCGUUUCAAUGAUGGAUAUACUACCUGGAUAUAUCUUCAAUUCCUGUUAGCUUUGGCGAUUCUUUAGAAUAUACAGAAAAAGUCUAAUAGAAGAAAAAACAUUUGUGAGGAUUUGGAAGGACUCGCUGGCCAAUCAUAUCGCACUGAACGUAUUUUGGCCUAUAGCCUUUUUGGAUCUUUAGUCGAACAAAAAUGAUUCAAGAGAAAGAAAUGUUGGAUGAAAUCGAACUGAGUUUAUGGACCCUAACCGAGUAAAAUGUAUACUACUUGUGUGAACGUUGAGGUCAAAGGAAAGAGUCAUCGCUCGCUGCGUAAAAUUAUCGAAGAAUAUUGUGAAAAUGUUGAUUUAAUUGACCCAACGGAUCAGGGAAUGUCUCGGUUACUCAAACUGAAAUAUCAAAUCAAAAAUGUAAAAGAUGAUGCUAACUGUGUGACCACGAACCCCAGAACGACAGCUCAAAAGCAAAACCCGACGGAGAAUUCAAUGAAGAGGGGGGAGCUGGUUUUCUGAAGAACAGGAUGAAGGCUGAGCCUGUUCCUCAUUGGCUCAUUAUACCACAGCAGAGGGAGACAGUGGAUGUUGGGUACCUGUGCUGAUUUUCCUGGAAGAAACUAGAAACACCAGCCGUCACUCACGAAAUAAUGUUUUGUGGACAGAUGACUCAAACAUGAAACUUUUGGAUGACUUGUCCCCGUUUUGUCUGGCAAAAAACCAACAUUGCAUUCCUCACUAAGAACCACAACCACUUGGAAAUACAAUGUUCUGCAAUGAAUAGCUGGACGGAGUUCCCCUUACUGCAGGAGGCGUUUGGUGACAGACAUAUCAACUAAAGGCAACAUUUUUACGUUUAACUGGGAAAUUAACUUUUUUACACAGCUGUGUUGGGUUUCAAAUAACAAAACAAGCGGAGCCCAAAGUGUCACCGGGUCCUGAAUGUGACAAACCUACGGAAUCACCAGGUCCUGAUUGUGGCAAACCUACAGAAUCACCAGGUCCUGAUUGUGGCAAACCUAAGGAAUCACCAGGUCCUGAUUGUGGCAAACCUACGGAAUCACCAGGUCCUGAUUGUGGCAAACCUAAGGAAUCACCAGGUCCUGAUUGUGGCAAACCUACAGAAUCACCAGGUCCUGAUUGUGGCAAACCUACGGAAUCACCAGGUCCUGAUUGUGGCAAACCUACGGAAUCACCAGGUCCUGAUUGUGGCAAACCUAAGGAAUCACCAGGUCCUGAUUGUGGCAAACCUACAGAAUCACCAGGUCCUGAUUGUGGCAAACCUACGGAAUCACCAGGUCCUGAUUGUGGCAAACCUACGGAAUCACUGGGUCCUGAAUGUGACAAUGGAGCACUGUGUGAGGAACAGGGUCCGGAUAUGGGGUCUUGGCCAUCUCUCAAAAGAGUUGCUGGAAAACUGUAGGGUUAUGCUGGGUCACAGAGUCAACACAAAAGGCGAUGGGAAGGAGGACGAGAGGAUUUCUAUCUUUGCGAAUGAUGGUAUGAGUGUAUAAAAUGUAAUAUGAGCAUGGCUAUGUAAAAUUGCAUUAUAAUGCCAUUAGUGUUCUUAUGCAGAAAGUUAAAAUUUCCAACUGCUUACAACUACUGAUGUGUUGAUUGCUGUUUGUGCAGGAGUGGAUCCUGAUUCCUCAGACUUAUCAGUGGAUACAUUGUCUUUAUCAUGGGAACCUCACCAGGAAGUUAACAAAGUAAUAAGAUCUUCACACAGCCCUCAUAGUAAGAAAAUAUGCACCGUAAAAUCUGGUCCUGAAUGGCUUAUGAACUCACACUCUAAAGAGACACCCUCAUCCCAAACUUCAGAUUACAAAGAAAGUGUUUGUACUGGGACAUUUUCAAAGAGAAACAAUAGGACAUAUCCUGGAGAGAAACAUUGCUUUGACUGUCAGCAAAGUUUCUCUUCAAUUGGAUGCCUGAGAAAACACAAUCGGUUGCAUUCAGGUGAGAAACCUUUUCAGUGCACUGAGUGCGAUAAGAAAUACACUAGAUCAGACCAACUGAAAGAUCAUAUGGUACUACAUUCUGGUGUGAGACCAUACCAAUGCUCUGAAUGUGAUAAAACAUUCCCUACCAAUUCGCGUCUUAAAACGCACUUGCGAAUACAUAAUGGUGAAAGGCCUUUCAGUUGCCCACAGUGCAACAAGAGUUUCACAAUCAGUUCAAAUCUUUAUCAACACCUUUCAGUACACUCUGGAGCGAAACCUCACCAAUGCUCUGACUGCAAUGGUAAUUUCUCUACUGCUCGGGCACUUAAGAAACAUAGACUGCUACAUACAGGGAUUAAGCCUUUCUGCUGCUCCCACUGUAACAAGAAGUACACAAGAUCAGAUCAGUUAAAAAUUCAUAUGAAGACCCAUGUGAAAUCAUUUUAUCGAAGUCCCCAAUGUCAGAAGAGUUUUGAAACUAAGUCACAUCUUAAGAAACACCUGCUAAUACACAGCAGAGAUAUUUCUCUCCACUGCCCUGUCUGUGACCAAAAGUUCUCUUCUGUGGAUGACUUAAAUGAACACAUGCCAUUUCACAUAAGGGAGAAACUAUUCCAUUGUCUGCUGUGUCAGGAAAGGUACAGUGAAUCAGAUGAGUUGAAAGAACAUAUGAUAACUCAUGAGGAACAUUUGGGUGUUUAACCUGGUCCUGAAGCUAAAUCACCAAGUUCUAGAAAUUUAGAAUUACAAUGUCAAGAAACUGACCGUACUGUUGACAAACCUGACAUCAGCCUUGAGUGUAAAACAGAUUUUUAUCACCAGAACAACCGGAAAGAACAAAAACACACUUGGAGAACAAUGAAGCCAAGGGAUGAGACACCACACACUGAGGAAAACCAAUCACACACUUUGGAGAAGCCUAAAUGCUGUGUUGAAUGUGGGAAACACUUCUGUAGAAGUUCACCUCUAGCAUUACACAAAGACAACCCUGAUCACUGUUCAGAUUGCAGUGAACAGUUUUGUUCGGGAAUAAUUCUUAGGAAACACCAGGAAAAUUACUCUGAAGAUAAACUUUACCUCAGCUCUGUGUGUAAUGCUAGUUUCCAUUUAAUUGGAGAUUUAAAAUCCCAUGCAAGGAUCCACACAGAGGAGCCUCAACAUGGUUCUGACUCUAAACAAAAUGUCUUUGCAGCACAGACUUUAAAACCCAAGCGGCUACACAGGGGAGAGAAGCGUUUUUACGCUGUGACGACUGUAAUAAGACUUUCACCAGAGCAGACUCGUUGAAGUUUCAUAUGUUGUCACAUACCGGAGAAAAAUCUUACCAAUGUCCUGAAUGUGAAAAACGCUACUAUAGUUCCUCCCAAUUAAAAAUUCAUCAGAAAUGAGUUCAUAGGGGGGAAAAACCUUACCUUUGUUCUUACUGUGGAUUGACUUUUGGUCUACUAGGUAAUCUCAAAGAGCACCAGCGAAUACACACUGGAGAAAAGCCACAUAUCUGUCCUGAGUGUGGGAAGCAGUUCAGCCAAGCAAAAGACUUAAAAAGACAUCAGCAGAAACAUACUGGAGAAAAACCAUAUCAGUGUCCUGAUUGUGAGAAAUGUUUCACCCAGCUAGAUUCGCUUAAAGUACACCAGGUAAGACAUACAGGAAAGUGGGCUCUCCACUGUGUUCAGUGUAGUAAAGGGUUCAUGUCUACACGGCUGUUAAAAAAAACACAUCUCACACUCGCAAACCCUUCGUCUGUUCAGACUGUGGGAAACGUUUCAGGCAGAUUGCUGGACUUCAUGCACAUGAGCAAAACCACACCGUAAAGACUGUCUGAACUGAAUGUAAGAAAAGAUAUUCAAGUCUAAAGAUAUACCGUUGAUUGGAUUCUGUUGAUUCUGUAACACUGAUGAACUUACCCAUUUGGAAACCUUCUAGAGAAGUCAAAUGAAACGUUCUCCAACCUGAAUUGCUGCCUGAACAAGCAGUGGUAAAUUACUGCCACUACUGUGUGCGGACUUUGACUUUUCUACGAUGUUUGUAAACUGUAUACUAAUACUAAAUUGUUAGCAUAAGGAGGAUGUGUAAUGACAAAAUAUUAGCUGCAAGUCUGCUUUUCAGCACAACUCCCAAGAUUGUUUUGGCCAGACAUGUUAGGGUCCUUUUGCACUCUGGUCAUUCUGAAAAUGUAAGUUUGGUC